rnacentral:lncRNA from 1 species
UUUUUUUAUUUAAAAAAAAUCAAAAAAAAAAUCAUUGUUAAAAAAAAAAAAAAAUUUUACUGUUCACAAAAUCCCUAAUUUUCCAGAAAUUGUUUUCUUCUCCAGCCGUUUGCAGCACGCCAGCAGCAAACCAGCCAGCCGGAGAAUGCAGCAUCAGUCGCGCGCAACGCAGCCACGCAGACAGCAUCCUGCACGCAACCAGCAGUGCGCAACCAGCCCCAAGCCGCGCAGCAAGCUCCAGCCGAGCACGCAACGCAACAAGCGUCACCAGCGCGCGCACCAGCAAUCCCCCAGCGCGCAGCAACAGCCGCAGCACGCAGAUCCAGCGUCACCAGUUCGCAGCAUCAGUCCCAUCCGCGCGCAACUGAACCACCAGCCGUGUACCCGCAAGCUCCAGUCGAGCAGCAAUAGUCCGCAACCAGCCUACGACCUGUAUUCCAGCCGCGUGAAUCGAAAUCCGUGACAAGAUGGAGCAGAAUUUGGCCGCAUACUUCAAGAGUGUGGGAUUUAUCCCACCAUUCCCGCCAAGCCCAUAGACGUUAUGAGGAUCAAAGCUCACAAUUCAGGGAAGUUUUUGCCUUUAAUCUUUUAUCCUUACGCUUUAAUUUUUAUGUGAGCUUUGAUUAUCUUACAUUGGGGACAAUGUAAGUUAUUGGUGUGGGGGAGGGAUUUUUGCAUUAUUGAUGCCUGGAAUUAUUAUUUUCACUCUACUCAUCUAUUUUCAUUAUACUCAUCCUUAAAUGAUUUUGGAGUUAGUAUGCUUCAUAUAUUAUUAUUUUUCUUUUCUUUUCUUUCUCAUUACUUUUUUCCCAUCUAUCUCAAAUUAUUUACAUCUAUUUUUAUUCUAUCAUACUCUCUCAUCACUCACAUUUUAUCUUUCACUUUUCAUAUUACUACAUACAUCUUUCUCACUUCUUAUCAUUUUUACCUUUCCUUCACUCAUACCUUCUUCCCAUUCUACACCACUAUUGAUGGUUGAUUCAUUUGAAGAGUGUACAUGAUUUGAUGGCAAAUUUACCAACUUUGUGAGGAUUUGAGCCUAUGAGCAACCACUUUGCUCUAAUUAUUUUUAUUAUGUGAAUAUCAAUCUUAGUUUGUUUAUUCUAGAACUUACUUUGUUAUGCAUGUUGAAGCCACAUUACGGGAUUUUUUUCAUUAAAAUGAUAAGGGCAAACCAUUUACCAUUUUUCUAUUCUUGCAUUUUCUUUUUUUUUCUCUACCCGAAGACCUUGAUUUACUAUCUUUGUUUGAGCCUUAACCAUUACCCAUCUAAUUCUCUCCGUCUACUUAACCAUUUUUCUUCUUUUUGAGCCUCAAUUUAAGGAGAUUUUUGGACUCAUUGUGUGGAUAUAUUUUGUUGCUUUUUCUACCUUGUAAUAAAGUUUCUCAAUUAGAUCAACAAGCAUUAUGCUUGAAUUAAAUUGUGCAAGGUUCGUUUCUUUUGUUUGAUUCAAAAAAAAAACAACAAAAAAAAAACAAAAAAAAAGAAAAAAAAAGAAAAAAGAAAAAAAAAAGAAAAAAGAAAAUUUGAAAAAAAAAUCGAAAUAAAAAAUGUUUACAUUCUUGGUGACUUGAGUAGAAAUAAGCAUUUUGAUAUCAUAAGUUCAUUCAAUGAGUUCAUUCUUCUCGUUUUGAUCUCUUUUUCUUUCGUAAACCUUUCUUUUUCAUUUAACACAUUUAACCCCAUUACAACCCUUUUAAGACCCUUAGAUUUUUGCAUUUUAUUCAUGUUUUGUGGAUUGAGAUGUGAUAUAUGAGCAAGCUUAUGGUAAUAGCAUUCUUUGAUUUGAUUUGAGUGGAUAAAUGACACCCUAAACACUUUGAGUGCAUGGAGUGAAGUUAUUGAGAGGGCUAUUACAUCUUGUUGCACUUGAAUUUUGAACGAAUCUUCUUGGUGGUUGAAUGUUCUUAUUCUAUCUUAUGAAAUUCUAUGCUUUAAAAUCCUUGUCUCUCGAACGUUGAACGACUUAAUUUCUUGAGGUAUGCUUGCUUAAAAUUAUUUUUGGAUGAGUUGAGAUGAGAAUUUAGUGGAGAUUUGAGAUUAGUCUUGAGUUAUAUGCUUGAGGACAAGCAUCAUCUUGGUGUGGGGGAAUUUGUUAGAGUGCAAUUUAUGCACUAGUUUUGCAUUAUUUACUUCCCUUAAUAUCAAUGUUUUGCACUUAAUAAUAGUGAUUUACUUAUGUUUUACUUUUGUAGGUGCAAUUCUAUUGAUUGAUGAUAAAAUUGAGCUAUAAGAUGAUGUUUAAGGAUGAUUGUUCUCUUGGAGAAAUUAUGAGCGUCAGAAGAACUUUGUUGAUAAGGCGUGGGCGCGUGCUGUCAACUGCGGACCUGUAGUUUUUAGUUUAACGUGUUUUGUAUUUUUGGUUAUUUUUGUAAUUACGAAUUUAAUAUUUCAGAUAUUAGUAUUUUAUUUUAAAUAGAAUUCUAAAAGAGAGGAGAGAGAGAGUAUUUAAGGGAGGAAUCUAUUGUGAAAAGGGGGGAUUUUUGGAUUGGAGAAAAAGAAAGAAACCCUAGAUCUAAUUUUUCUCUUCUCUCUAUGAAGAACUAAACCUAUUUUUCUGGUUGAAGGAUAACGAAGCUUUGAUUCAUCACUACUGUGAGAUCUUUCUUGUGCUUUAAUUGUUUUAUUGCUUUUUGGAUAUUUGUUUAUUCUCUGUAUUAUUUUCAUGAUUAUGUUUGUUAAUUAGGUAAUUGGCCACUAUUUAAUUAUCAACUCAAUCUAUUGUCAAUUAAAGGAUUCAUCGUAUGAAGAAUUUAAUGUUUGUGACAAAUAACAUAGCAGAGAGUUGUGUUGUGAGAAUAAACAAUCUAAUUUAAAUGAAUCAUCAUAUGUGUUGAUUAGGAUUUGGGUCUCUCUGGUUUUUCAGGCUGUCAAUUGAUUAAAUUCUAUGAUCGUAUCUAGGGUUGUCUAUUGAUUAGGGAAAUAACCAACGGUCGUACCUUAGUUAUCGACUAGUUAAGGAGAGAUUGGCUAUUAGAGGGUCUCAGUAGCUAUAACCGGUCUAUUCAUAAGUAAUAAUAAUAAUCUAUAUUUGAAUCAAUGAUCAGUAGUCGAAUCAAGCUGAGUUAAUUCCUUCAACCAGAGCUUUCUCCAAUUUGAAUUACAACUUUAAUUUGCAUUCUUGUUAUUUUAAUUUGAUUUUUAUUAUUGUCAACAAUUCCCCCAUUUUACGUUUUACGUUUCAAAAGGAUUUAAAUAAUUACCGAUCUCUGUGGACACGACCCUGCUCAAUCACUAUACACAAUUUAUUUAGAGUAGGAAUUUAUUUUUGUUGGCUUCGACAACCAUCAAAUUUUGGCGCCGUUGCCGGGGAUUGGUGUCAUUUAUUUAAUCCUUUUUACGUUUUACUUGGUGUAUGGUUCGUUCUUCUCGUACAGGUACACUUUCGUUUGAUCCUGAAAUCGAGAAGACAGCUCGCCAGCUGAGACAGCAGACGAAGCGAGCUAAGCAACGAUCCUCGUCGCCUUUGCUUUCUGAAACAGAUACGGUGCCUGAUUUAGUUGAAUCAUCUAGCGAUUCAGAAGAACAGGUGAUGGAUAGACCUGCACCUGUAGAAAGAACUCUUAGAGAGUUAGCUGAACCAGACUUGAAUCAACAACCACUCUGCAUUCAAUAUGUAGACUUGGAGGUAAAUUUUGAAUUAAAGUCUGGUCUUAUUCAUUUAUUACCCAAGUUUCAUGGUUUUGCAGGUGAAGAUCCUCAUAAACAUCUUAAGGAGUUUCAUGUUGUGUGUUCAAGUAUGAGACCACAAGGUGUGACUGAAGAGCAGAUUAAGCUGCGUGCUUUUCCGUUCUCUGUAGAUGGGCUAGCUAAAGAUUGGUUGUACUACUUGCCUCCUGGAUCAAUUACAACGUGGAAUGGUUUGAAGAAGCAGUUCCUUGAGAAGUACUUUCCUGCUUCAAGAGCUGCCAACAUCAGAAAAGAUAUUUGUGGGAUCAGACAACUUCCUAGGGAGACUUUAUAUGAGUAUUGGGAGCGAUUCAAACAAUUGUGUGCCAGCUGUCCUCAGCAUCAAAUUUCUGAUCAACUUCUUAUUCAAUAUUUUUACGAAGGACUGUCAUUGAUGGAUAGGAGUAUGAUAGAUGCUGCUAGUGGAGGCGUGUUGGUGAACAAGACCCCUACUCAAGCAAGGGAGUUGAUAUCAAAUAUGGCUGCCAAUGCACAACAAUUUAGCAGCAGGCAAGAGCUCACUUCAAGGAAAGUGAAUGAGGUAAAUAUUUCUUCUGUUGAACAACGUUUAGAUAAACUUACUUCUCUUGUGGAAAAGUUUGUUGUAGGUAAUGUGCAGCAGGUGAAGACUUGUGGUAUAUGUUACAAUAUGGGUCAUUCAACUGAUAUGUGUCCUACACUUCAAGAAGAACCCAUUGAACAAGCCAAUGCAGUUGGAGGAUUUCCAGGCAUGCCUCAGAGGAGGUAUGAUCCUUAUGCACAAACAUACAAUCCGGGAUGGAAGGAUCAUCCUAACUUCAGCUAUGGAGUUAGGCCGUCAGGAUUCCCACAACAGUAUCCACCAAGACAACCAGCACCUCCACAGUCAAACUCCAAGUCAGGUAUAUCUCUUGAAGAAAUUGUUAAAUCACUUGCGACUAACACUCAACAAUUUCAGCAGGCAACUACAGCAAGCAUUCAGAACUUGGAGAACCAAAUGAGUCAAUUGGCGACUACAGUGAGCCGUCUGGAGUCUCAAGUAUUAGGGAGAUUGCCUUCACAAUCUGAGGUGAAUCCAAAGCAAAACGUUAGUGCUGUCAUCCUUAGAAGUGGGAAAGAGUUGCAAGAGCCUAGUAAGAAAGUGACAAAGUAUGUAGAAGAUGAGCUUGAGAAGAAUGAAUUGAUGCCUCAAUCUCAAGAUGCGCAACCCACAAGAGCGAAACCCCUACCUAUUGUGAUACCUCCUCCUUUUCCAAGCCGGUUUGCAAAAUCCAAAAAGGAGGAACAAGAGAAAGACAUCCUUGAGACAUUUCGCAAGGUUGAGGUAAAUAUUCCUUUAUUAGAUGCUAUAAAACAAAUACCUCGAUAUGCUAAAGUCCUUAAGGAACUGUGCACCUCCAAGAGAAAAUUAAGAGGAGAUGAAAAAGUUCACAUGGGGGAGAAUGUUUCAGCAGUUCUCCAAAAGAAACUACCUCCUAAGUGCGAGGAUCCAGGUAUGUUUACUAUCCCUUGUAAAAUUGGUAGUGUUAGAGUUGAAAAGGCUUUGUUAGAUCUAGGAGCUUCUAUUAAUGUCAUGCCUCGUUCCAUUUAUUCAUCUUUGAAUAUUGGUCCAUUAAAAGAAACUGGUGUGAUAAUUCAACUAGCUGACAGGUCUAAUGCAUAUCCUGAUGGGGUAUUAGAAGAUGUCUUAGUACAAGUUAAUGAGUUGGUUUUUCCUGCUGAUUUUUAUGUACUUGAUAUGGAAGAUGAUAACUCCUCUAAUUCUGUCCCAAUUUUGCUAGGAAGACCUUUUCUUAAGACUGCUAGGACUAAAAUGGAUAUACAUAAAGGGACUCUCACUAUGGAGUUUGAUGGAGAGGUUAUAGAAUUCAAUAUGAAUGAUGCCAUGAAAUAUCCUAGUGAGGAACAUUCGGUAUUUUCUGUGGAUGUUAUUAACCUUAUAGCGUAGGAAAUUUUUUACAAGGAAAAGACGAAGACAUUUCAUGAUAGAAUGAUUUUGAGAAAGGAGUUCUCUGCUGGUCAAAAAGUUCUUCUUUUUCAUUCUAAACUUAAACUUUUUCCGGGUAAAUUACGUUCUUGUUGGGUUGGACCUUUUAUUGUUACUAAUGUUUUUCCUCAUGGUGCAGUUGAGAUUCGGAGCCCGACCUCUGACAGAGUUCUUAAGGUUAAUGGUCAUCGCUUAAAACCUUUUUAUGAAGGUUUUUCGGUGAAUAUUGUGGAGGAUGUGGCUCUCGAAAGUCCAAAUUAUGGAGAUUGAUGCAUAAAUGUGUCUAGCCAAAGACAUAAAACAAAGGCGCUUUUUGGGAGGCAACCCAAGUGAUUUAUUUAUUUUGGUUUUUGUUAUAUCUUCUUUUAAUUUUGAUUCAAAUUUUUUUAAAUAAUGUGUUUGCUUAUUUUGGUCAGAAAAAAAUUUUUGAUAAGGCGUGCCCACGUCUUAACUAAUAAGUACUUCUGUAAUUUUUAAAGUAAAAUAGUUUUAAGGCGUGCCCACGUGCUUAUUAGAAAAGUACUUCUGAAAUUUUUAGUGUCUCAAAGUGAUUCAUCACUAAAAAAAAAAAAAAAAAAAAAUUUUUUUGAUUUUAUUUCAUUUUAUUUUAUUUAUUUAUUUCUUUUGUUCUUUCUUUUAUAUAUAUAUAUAUAUAUAUAUAUAUAUAUAUAUAUAUAUAUAUAUAUAUAUAUAUAUAUAUAUAUAUAUAUUAUUUAAAAAAAAUAUAAAAAAAAUCAUUGUUAAAAAAAAAAAAUUUUUAUUGUUCACAAAAUCCCUAAUUUUCCAGAAAUUGUUUUCUUCUCCAGCCGUUUGCAGCACGCCAGCAGCAAACCAGCCAGCCGGAGAAUGCAGCAUCAGUCGCGCGCAACGCAAGCACCAGCAACGAGCACGCCCCGCAACGCAACAAGCGUCACCAGCGCGCGCAGCAACAGCCGCAGCACGCAGAUCCAGCGUCACCAGUUCGCAGCAUCAGUCCCAUCCGCGCGCAACUGAACCACCAGCCGUGUACCCGCAAGCUCCAGUCGAGCAGCAAUAGUCCGCAACCAGCCUACGACCUGCAUUCCAGCCGCGUGAAUCGAAAUCCGUGACAAGAUGGAGCAGAAUUUGGCCGCAUACUUCAAGAGUGUGGGAUUUAUCCCACCAUUCCCGCCAAGCCCAUAGACGUUAUGAGGAUCAAAGCUCACAAUUCAGGGAAGUUUUUGCCUUUAAUCUUUUAUCCUUACGCUUUAAUUUUUAUGUGAGCUUUGAUUAUCUUACAUUGGGGACAAUGUAAGUUAUUGGUGUGGGGGAGGGAUUUUUGCAUUAUUGAUGCCUGGAAUUAUUAUUUUCACUCUACUCAUCUAUUUUCAUUCUACUCAUCCUUAAAUGAUUUUGGAGUUAGUAUGCUUCAUAUAUUAUUAUUUUUCUUUUCUUUUCUUUCUCAUUACUUUUUUCCCAUCUAUCUCAAAUUAUUUACAUCUAUUUUUAUUCUAUCAUACUCUCUCAUCACUCACAUUUUAUCUUUCACUUUUCAUAUUACUACAUACAUCUUUCUCACUUCUUAUCAUUUUUACCUUUCCUUCACUCAUACCUUCUUCCCAUUCUACACCACUAUUGAUGGUUGAUUCAUUUGAAGAGUGUACAUGAUUUGAUGGCAAAUUUACCAACUUUGUGAGGAUUUGAGCCUAUGAGCAACCACUUUGCUCUAAUUAUUUUUAUUAUGUGAAUAUCAAUCUUAGUUUGUUUAUUCUAGAACUUACUUUGUUAUGCAUGUUGAAGCCACAUUACGGGAUUUUUUUCAUUAAAAUGAUAAGGGCAAACCAUUUACCAUUUUUCUAUUCUUGCAUUUUCUUUUUUUUUUCUCUACCCGAAGACCUUGAUUUACUAUCUUUGUUUGAGCCUUAACCAUUACCCAUCUAAUUCUCUCCGUCUACUUAACCAUUUUUCUUCUUUUUGAGCCUCAAUUUAAGGAGAUUUUUGGACUCAUUGUGUGGAUAUAUUUUGUAUAUAUUUUGUUGCUCUUUCUACCUUGUAUUAAAGUUUCUCAAUUAGAUCAACAAGCAUUAUGCUUGAAUUAAAUUGUGCAAGGUUCAUUUCUUUUGUUUGAUUCAAAAAAAAAAAAAGGAAAAAGAGAAAAAAAAAUAGAAAAAGAAAAAUCGAAAAAAAAAAUCAAAAAAAAAGAGAAAAAGAAGAAAAAAAAAAUGUUUACAUUCGUGGUGACUUGAGUAGAAAUAAGCAUUUUGAUAUCAUAAGUUCAUUCAAUGAGUUCAUUCUUCUCAUUUUGAUCUUUUUUUCUUUCAUAGACCUUUCUUUUUCAUUUAACCUAUUUAACCCCAUUACAACCCUUUUAAGACCCUUAGAUUUUUGCAUUUUAUUUAUGUUUUGUGGAUUGAGAUGUGAUAUAUGAGCAAGCUUAUGGUAAUAGCAUUCUUUGAUUUGAUUUGAGUGCAUAAAUGAUACCCUAAACACUUUGAGUGCAUGGAGUGAAGUCAUUGAGAGGGUUAUUAAAUCUUGUUGCACUUGAAUUUUGAAUGGAUCUUCUUGGUGGUUGAAUGUUUUUAUUCUAUCUUAUGAGAUUCUAUGCUUUAAAAAUCCUUGUCUCUCGAAUGUUGAUCGACUUAAUUUCUUGAGGUAUGCUUGCUUAAAAUUAUUUUUGGAUGAGUUGAGAUGAGAAUUUAGUGGAGAUUUGAGAUUAGUCUUGAGUUAUAUGCUUGAGGACAAGCAUCAUCUUGGUGUGGGGGAAUUUGUUAGAGUGCAAUUUAUGCACUAGUUUUGCAUUAUUUACUUCCCUUAAUAUCAAUGUUUUGCACUUAAUAAUAGUGAUUUACUUAUGUUUUACUUUUGUAGGUGCAAUUCUAUUGAUUGAUGAUAAAAUUGAGCUAUAAGAUGAUGUUUAAGGAUGAUUGUUCUCUUGGAGAAAUUAUGAGCGUCAGAAGAACUUUGUUGAUAAGGCGUGGGCGCGUGCUGUCAACUGCGGACCUGUAGUUUUUAGUUUAACGUGUUUUGUAUUUUUGGUUAUUUUUGUAAUUACGAAUUUAAUAUUUCAGAUAUUAGUAUUUUAUUUUAAAUAGAAUUCUAAAAGAGAGGAGAGAGAGAGUAUUUAAGGGAGGAAUCUAUUGUGAAAAGGGGGGAUUUUUGGAUUGGAGAAAAA